CCUACGGGAGGCAGCAGUAGGGAAUCUUCCACAAUGGGCGAAAGCCUGAUGGAGCAACGCCGCGUGGGUGAAGAAGGUCUUCGGAUCGUAAAACCCUGUUGUUAGAGAAGAAAGUGCGUGAGAGUAACUGUUCACGUUUCGACGGUAUCUAACCAGAAAGCCACGGCUAACUACGUGCCAGCAGCCGCGGUAAUACGUAGGUGGCAAGCGUUAUCCGGAUUUAUUGGGCGUAAAGGGAACGCAGGCGGUCUUUUAAGUCUGAUGUGAAAGCCUUCGGCUUAACCGGAGUAGUGCAUUGGAAACUGGGAGACUGGAGUGCAGAAGAGGAGAGUGGAACUCCAUGGGUAGCGGUGAAAUGCGUAGAUAUAUGGAAGAACACCAGUGGCGAAAGCGGCUCUCUGGUCUGUAACUGACGCUGAGGUUCGAAAGCGUGGGUAGCAAACAGGAUUAGAUACCCGAGUAGUC
rnacentral:rRNA from 1 species